rnacentral:rRNA from 1 species
GUUUGAUCCUGGCUCAGAUUGAACGCUGGCGGAAUGCUUUACACAUGCAAGUCGAGCGGCAGCGCGGGGCAACCUGGCGGCGAGCGGCGAACGGGUGAGUAAUACAUCGGAACGUGCCCAGACGUGGGGGAUAACUACUCGAAAGAGUGGCUAAUACCGCAUACGAUCUGAGGAUGAAAGCGGGGGAUCGCAAGACCUCGCGCGUCUGGAGCGGCCGAUGGCAGAUUAGGUAGUUGGUGAGGUAAAAGGCUUACCAAGCCUGCGAUCUGUAGCUGGUCUGAGAGGAUGAUCAGCCACACUGGGACUGAGACACGGCCCAGACUCCACGGAGGCAGCAGUGGGGAAUUUUGGACAAAUGGGCGAAAGACCUGAUCCAGCCAUUCCGCCGUGCAGGAUGAAGGCC